GGGAAACAAAAAUGUUGUUAACGAUUCUGUUGUGUAUGUUGAUUAGACUGAACAAAGCUGCAUUACAGUGAUCAGAGUUUAAGAGCAAUGACAUGGGUACCAGGAGGUAGUUAGCACCCAUUACAUCCAGUGUUGGUACUUGCUGUUCCCUGCAUUAAGUUCUGUUCAAAAGCGGUCAUGUGCGGCUCUUCUACAGCGUCACGUUUUCAGGACUGUGAUGAUCAUCUCUUUGAAGGGAUAGAUUAACAUUUUGACGAUUGAUAUAUUUUGUUAUGUGUGUGUGUGUGUGUGUGUGUGUGUAUAUAUGUGUAUAUAUAUAUAUAUAUAUAUCACACACACACUGACGAUCGGGUCAUAACAGCUUGAGAGGGAAAAAAUUCCAGAUUUUUUUUAGCCAAUACAUAAACACUGAUCUUUAUUAAUAUUUGGAUCUGUGAUCUACAUGUACAUACAUAAGAACUUAAUCUUUGGACCUAUUUUCCAACCAAAUCAACUAUUUCAAUAUCUGGUGCACACUCUUUAUUUUUAUUAUUAUUAUUAUUAUUAUUUUUAUUUUAUUGGCUUAGCAGAGUUUGCUUUUCAAACUGUUGUAAAAGUGUUGCCUUGUUAUAUUGCUGGUCCUAUAGAUCUUCCUUUGGCAUGCAGAAACCUAAAAAUAGGUUUCUGCAUACUGGCAUUACCUUAAUUAGAAAGGAGGGUUUUAAUUGUCAGAAUGCUUAACUAUCCUUUUAAGUGACCUUUUGAGUUUUUUAUUUAAAUGUUUUUCCUGGUGAGAUCACAGCCACAUCAUCUUCAUCACCCCCUCCCCUCACUCUUUGAUUUUUUUUUUAUUUGUUUUUUUUUUUUUUUUACUGAAUUUAUUUAUUUUUAAUCUAUAUAUUUUUUAGUAUUUGACAAUUAUGCUUUACUGUCAUCGUACAUUUAUUUCAAUAUUAAUUAUUUAAAACACAUUUUGUUUUUCGUCCUUGUGUUCCAUGUUCUGUCAUAUUGAUUUACGUCUGUUCUGUACUUUGAUUCCAUCUCCAGAAUCUAUGGUGUUGUCAGAUUUUACUAUUUCAUUGCAAUUAAACACUUAAACGAUGAAAGCCAGCUGAGUGUGGACGAACUCUGGCUCAAUUGUUAAGACCCCUUAAGAAAUGAUAUGAUCGGCUCAUCAUAGUAUUUAUUUAGCCACUGAUUCAUUAUGCACAGCCAUUAUUACUUGUAUAAAUGUAAGCUUUCAUCAAAACAUAGACGUUGACUGUAGACGCUAUCUACUAUUUCCUAUAGGCCAACAUUUAUGCAUGUAGUACAUGCUAAUUAAACUCGUUAAAUUAAAAAAUAUGUGCACUGAGGGACCAUGACUUGAUCUUGAGAAUUGUUCAUGAAGAAAGUCGGCACUGGAAAAUUCAUUUUGGUGAGGCAUUAGAUUACACUGAACUUAAGCCAUGAAAAUGAAGUAGUCCAUAUCUAGAUUCAGGUAGAAGCACUGUUGUUUAUUUUUUUCUAAAGAAUUGGCACACAGUGCCAUACUCGACUGACACUUAAACCGUUUCCAGGUUUCCAGACAGAAUCCUACCACUAGACAACCCAUUUUAGCUGUACUGGUAAGACUGGUGUGCAUGAGAGCUCUCUGCCUUAAAUUCUUGUAUUAUUUUUAUCAUGAAAGAAAUCAUUAUGUAUAUCAAGCCACUAUCAGUUUGUACAAAACAUCAAAUUAUUUAUUUGAUUUGGGAUACAUUGUUUGCCUAAUGAAUGUUAAUUGUUUAUGUAGAGAGUGGUUUAGCUGUAAUAAAACACAUGCAACUAUUUAUUAUUUCUGUCUUUAUUAUCCAUAUUCUGCUCUUAUGGUUACUUGGCUCUGUAUGUGGAUCUGCAUUUAGGAUACGUUAUUUCCAGGACUAUUACCCUCAGAAAAUAUAAGCACAAACAACUGAAGAAAUACACCUGAUUAAAGUAAUGGCUUACAUCCAAACCACACAACGGAAAUCAGCACAGCAGGGAAACCAAGCAGGAUUGGGGAGGUCGUUUCAGUUCCUGCAGGCCGGAUGGGUUUGGUGCAAAAGGAACGAUGCUUAUACAGAAAAG
ensembl:lncRNA